GUUGUAAGUCCGAUCAGGAAAGGUCGGCACGGGUAAAAAAAAUCACAUAUAUAUGUAAAACUUUGUUCCUUUUGGACAUGUUUCUAAUAGGAGGACGGUGUGUGCAUCUUAUUAUGGGGCGCAGAAAGGAAGAACUUCUGUUUGUUCCUCGUGUCUUUCCAAAUACAACUUAUAAGUCGUAACAAUUUUUGUCCUUUUCAGAAUUUACAUAUAAGUGAGUUGUAAGUCCGACCAACACAGGUCGGCACGGGUAAGAACUUUAUAUGUAUACUGAAGUUCCCUUUUGACGUGUAAAGGAUGGUGUGUGCAUCGUGUUAAGGGGCGCACUAAGAAAGAAAUUCCGUUUUGCUCCUCGUAUCUUUCCAAACGCCCAUGUCAAAAUGAAUGUAAAACCAACUUGUAAGUCCGACCAGAAUGGUUGGCACUGGGAUUCGAAAAAAGCAACAACAUAGUAUUAUCUGUUUCAUAUAUCAGCUGUGUUUAGCUUGUUUAUAUAAGGACAAGACCUAUAUUGUGUAUAAUUUUCUAUUGGUGUUUUGGUGUUUACCAUAACCGUCGUUUCCUUAUUGUAUGAACGCGGUAUACACGCUCCUUUUGGUUUGUGUUGACGAGCUCAUCAGUCCAAGGUUAAAAGCACUGUUAUGUAUGAGGACAACAGAUUCAUUCAAAUUGUUGGCCACAAUCGCGAAUGUGAAUAUUGUACAUGUAAUAACAUUUUUCUCCCAUGACGAAAUUUUGACUGAUAGGUCAACUUGCUUAAAAUUUUUUUGCGUAAGUCCGAUCAUUCAAGGUCGGCAUGCAAUUGCCAAAACAUGUAUGUUAUUACUAUCCCUUUAAUUUUCAAGGCGCGCAUCUUGAUUGUAGCAGUACAAAAUAAAGGGAUCAUUAAACACUACAAAUAACAGGCAGGUAAUUGGAAGACAUAGAACACUUUGUCGCUGGAGUGCCGCAUCUCUUCUCGUGGAUGAGAAAGAUGUGAAGAAAAAGGUAAAUUUUGUGUAAGUUGUAAUUAAUUUUUUCAUUUAGCUUGGCCUAAGAACAGUUAAUAGUCAGGCCUAUGGUAAGGUGACGAAAGACCAAAUGACGUGACUUGGAGUUGACUCGACGACUUGUGAUACAUGUAGUUGGAAUAAAUACUAACCUUGCCCAGCAAAGGCCGAGUUUUUUUGUCUUCAACAGCACGAGAUUUACACAGUGUUUCGGGAGUGGCGUAACCAUCCUAAGACGAGCUGGAUGAGGAGGAGACUGCAGCAUCCCAAGUUCACCUGGCUGAGAUGACGAAUGAGAAUGCAAGCCAGGAGGGAAACUGAGCGAUGACCCCACUGGAUGAGCUUUGUAUGCCGUUUCUACAUGGAAGCCAGUCAACUAAAACGGUGAUGGGAUACAGCUCCAAGUUUGUGGGAUCAUCCGCUCUACAUUGCGAUGGCUUCGUGUCCCGGAAUUCCCCAAUCGCCAUGUUGAUGCGUGGAGGUAACUUCUGAAAUCUGGAACGGCCUUUCACGUCCAACUUUGAGUGACGACAAGAACUCAGCUGACACCGACCCUGUUGUGAUUGACUAUCUUCCUAACCUAUCGCAGGCUGGCUCAGUAUAUGAACAAUUGUCUUAGGAUUCACAAAGAUAUUUGUUGUGUUCAGAGAAUAAAAAAAAAAAAUUAUCAUGCAAGAAAUAAAUUACAUAAUUAUGUUAUUAAAAGCUUCUCAUCUGUGUACAUUUCUAUAAAAGUAUAUCAAUAAUGUAGACAAAGUGGCCGAUAUUGAAUCCUAGGAUUUUCCAUGAUAACCAGCAUAAUCUUAUAGACCAAUCCUGGCACGCUAUAAAUUCUAUCACGGAGGCCCCCAUCAAUGGCGAAAGCAUUGUGCUAGCUAUUGUUUCUCCAUUGAAGGGGGCCUCGUGAAUGUAAAGUGUUCACGUGCCCGGAUUCAUCUAGAAUGACUUAUAUAGAAAAUCCUCGUAGCAUUGUUGAGAAAAUUUAACUAAAAUCAAACAUGUCAGACAAAAUGUAUUGUCAGACGAAUGUAUUGUAUUGACUUUAAAGUGUUCCGUUUUCAUAAACUUUCAAGAUGUCAAAACAGUUGGGGAUAUUGAAUCAUGAAUGUACUCUUUACCGAGCCAGUAAAUUGAAGAUAUAAGGAAAUGGUUCAGGUUCACUGUAAAAUAGCAUGGAGUUGGUAAGCAGAAAAUAUAUGCGCUUAGCAAAAUCAGCUGAAAAAAAAACACUCGGCAGUAUGCAUUGCACAACACUUUGGCUAUAAGCAUAUAUUGGUAAGCGAAUAUUUUCUUAGCUUUGAUUAAUUCUCUGUCUAGCAGCUCCAUUUAAUUGGCUUUCUCUUUAUGGUUAUCUAUCUGCUUCAAACACUUCAAAACAAUUUGUAUUUGGCUUCGAUCGCUAUAUUAUUAGGCCUGUGAAAAUUAUGGGAUUAACAAAAUUUCCAAUUCGGGUUUUUACCUGUAUUUUUUUUACUCUUCGGAUGUCAACCUAAAUUCUUGUUUUUAAUUGACUUAGACAUUUUCCAAAUAGAUAUACAACGAAAUGUGAAUACAUUGUAUGUUUUUUUAUUGAAUUCUUUGGUGUACGCUACUUUAUACACAAUACUAUCAUGUACGUUACCUCAGUUCUGUUUUCAAGUACCUAUAAUAGUAAACGGUACUAUUAGAUUGUAGGUACACACAGUUAUACAUGUAUGAUGUACGUAAACGGAACGAAUGUAUACGUAUACAUUAGUUAUGUUAUUUUUAUGCAGGCCAAAAUAAAAAAUAAUAAUAAAUUCCUUAAGUUUAAAAAGAUGUCUCUUUCUAAGAGAUCUCAGUUUAUCUCUAUCUCAAUAGAAAUAGCUCAAAGUUAGAAAUGAAAUAUCUGUAUUUUUAAUAGAAAUCUUUAUUAAAAACUGGAGGUGGGCUAUGGAUUUUUUAAAAGGAUUAUCUUUGCACGCCGUAUAAUUUGCUUUCGUGAAUACGUACAAUUUCCAAGUACCUCUACGAUAUUAUGUGGAUAUAACCUAUGUCUUUAUUCCUCCAUGGUCUCCUGAAAAGUGCAUCCAUUUGCACGAUACUUGAUACACGAUACUUGUAUUUGUGUACACAAGAUAAUGACGUACUUGGAAUUGUGAACUCUAUGUAAUUUGUGUAUACGAUAGUAUUGUGUAUGUUCACGAUUGAUAAAAGUCCCCCCCCCCAAAAAAAAGAGGGAAGUCACCGUAUCCAGGUCUCGUUCAAAAUAUUUAAAAGAACAUAAAGCAAAAUGCAAAUGAAUUCUGUGUUAAUGUACAAAAAAAAUCACAAAAGAUUUUCAAAUGCCGAGUCAUAUUAUGUAAGACUAUAGCUAAGGUUUAUGAGCAUGAUCAACACAACAAACAUGAUCUUUUGUAUAUUUUGUAUAUUUUUCAUUACCUUUUUAUAUGUAGGCAUGGGCUCAAGGUUCUUUAAAAUUAUUCUAAUGUUUACUUUAAUUGCUGAUAAUAAUUGUAUUACGUGAAUAGUUGAAGAAUGGUGAUCCAGCUAUUAAACAACAAAGAUACUAUGAAAUAGU
rnacentral:lncRNA from 1 species